rnacentral:lncRNA from 1 species
UUUUUUUUUUUUUUUUGAGACCGUGUCUUGCUCUGUUACCCAGGCUGGGCUGUCCUGGUGCAAUCUUGGCUCACUUUGGCUCACAGCAGCUUCAAAAUUCUAGGCUUGAGCAAUCCUCCUACCCCAGCCUCCUGAGAAGCUGGGACUACAGGCGCUUGCCACUAUGCCCGGCUAAUUUUUUAAAUUAUUUUGUAGAGACAGAGUCUCCCUAUGUUCCCAGGCUGGUCUCAAACACCUGAGCUCAGGUGAUCCUCCCACCUCGACCUCCCAUAGUGCUGGAACUACAGGCGUAAACCACCACUCCUGGCCAUUUUUAAAAAAAUUUCACAACUCAAACUUAAUUCAACUCAGUCCCUGCCUACCUGUACUGGCGAGGAGCUGGCCACAGCAAAUUAGGCCCCGUACCCUGAGGGCAAGGCCAAAUGUGCGGGUAUAAAAGGAUGUGAAACCCUGAAUUAGGGUGGAUCCAGAAUCUCAGGCCAUGGUGCCCCAAGCAGAUGUCUGGUGACAUUCUACCCUGAAAUGCUCAGGCUCCAGAGAUAUUAGGUCUCUUUCACUCUGUUCCUCUUUAUAGCCCCUGUGUCCACUGCCAUGCUUGGGCCAUUUCCUCUUUUGACCAAAACACAAAGGAUUCAUCCCAUUACUUCCUCCUUCAACAGCUGGUACAGAGACCCCCAGCUCUAGGCCUGUGGGGUUGUGACACAUGUGUACUGAUCCUUCAGUCCACUGGGACUGUAUACAUGGCUUGGCUGCAUGGUGGGAAAGCAUCCCUUUACUUUGACUUUAGCCAUAUGACUUGCUCUGGCCAAUGGAUGUGCAUGGACAUGACUCAAGCUAAGUCUUGAAACAUACUUAAGCGGUUGGCCUCCCCUGAAUUUCUGUCAUUGCCAGGCAAGAGGCAGGCUCCAACUGACCUGCCGGUCCAAAGAGGAUGACGAACACAUGCAGAUGACCUGAAUCAGACCCAUGGUUUGAAACAAAACUCAGCUGAGCCCAGCCUACGUCCGCCAGACCCCAGCCAACCUGUGGAUGCAUCAGUUUAUUGCUGGAUGCUGCUGAGAAUUCUGUGGCUACAUUAGCAAAAUGAUACAAGGCCUAAGUCCCAGAACAACACACCCAGAACGUGCUUACCUUUCCUUAGGGUGAGGAGAACAAAGACUUAUCUACCUUGAUUAGUCAGGGAGCAUUGCUUCCUGUCAUUUCCUUGAGUAUACAGCAGCCUAAGUAAACAAAUAAAAAUAACUAGGUAAGCUGGGCACGGUGGCUCAUGCCUAUGAUCUCAGCACUUUGGGAGGCCGAGGUGGGCAGAUCGCUGGAGGCCAGGAGUUCAAGACCAGCCUGGCCAACAUGGCGAAACCCCGUCUCUACUAAAAAUACAAAAAUUAGCCAGGCCUAGUUACAGGCGGGCACCUGUAAUCUCAGCUACUCAAUAUGCUGAGGCACAAGAAUCGAUUGAACCUGGGAGGUGGAUAUUGCAGUGAGCCAAGGUCACACUACUGCAUUCCAGCCUGGAUGACAGAAUGAGAGUCUGCC